UACGUAGGGGGCAAGCGUUAUCCGGAAUUACUGGGUGUAAAGGGUGAGUAGGCGGCAUGGUAAGCCAGAUGUGAAAGCCUUGGGCUUAACCCGAGGAUUGCAUUUGGAACUAUCAAGCUAGAGUACAGGAGAGGAAAGCGGAAUUCCUAGUGUAGCGGUGAAAUGCGUAGAUAUUAGGAAGAACACCAGUGGCGAAGGCGGCUUUCUGGACUGUAACUGACGCUGAGGCUCGAAAGCGUGGGGAGCAAACAGG
rnacentral:rRNA from 1 species